AUUCCUUAAUAGGAUAAGUAUUUGGUUGUAGAAGUAUCGUCUUAAACUAAUGCUAUCUCAACCCGAUUCCCAUCUUAUUCACCCCUCCUAUACCGAUAAGGUUUCACAAAGUGUGAGACCUUAUUUUUUGACUUCAGCUCUAGUUAUGGAGAAACUUGUUGAUACAAG
rnacentral:sRNA from 1 species